AAAUUUGGUUUUAUUCUUGUGGUAUAAAUUACAAAUUAAAAGACUAGGUUUCUGAUUUUCAGUUUUAUAAAUCUUAAAGGCCAAUUAGAGUUAUUUUUUCUCCUUGUUACCUCAGUAAUAUGUGAUGGCAAUAACGAAAUCCUUCAUUGCGCAUAUUACUAAGGCUAAACUCUAAUUCAGUGUACCUAGUUUUGCAAUCUCUUAUUUAGUCCGUUUGUUAUUUCAGAGGGAGAAGAAAAAUUUACAAGAUUUAAAGAGUGUUUUUGUAUUUAAUGUUCCUGAAAGAGAGUUUCUAGACAGGCCAACAGCAAGGCUCAUAAAAGAAUUUGACCAGUUGGAAGAGUCAUUUUCGAAAUACAUAGGAAGUCAGGUUGGCAUUGUGUCUGAUACUCGAGAAAAUUCUCUGUACAAUGCUAUCUGGGCAGCUCAGGCACUUCUUUGUAAAGGGUCAGCAAAGACAGUUGACAAACGCAUACUUCUGUUCACAAAUGAUGAUGAUCCUUUUGGUAGUAUCAAAGGGGCUGCAAAAUCAGAUAUGAUAAGAAUGACCCUGCAGAGAGCUAAAGAUGCACAGGAUCUUGGAAUUUCUAUUGAAAUUCUUCCCUUGAGAUGCCCCGAUGCAGUGUUCAAAAUAUCUCAAUUCUAUGCUGAUUUGAUUGGGUUGGAAGGAGAUGAUCUUGUUGACUUUAUGCCAGAAGCAGGAAAUAAGUAAGACCUAUUAUUUAUGA